rnacentral:tRNA from 1 species
UGCGGGGUGGAGCAGUCCGGUAGCUCGUCGGGCUCAUAACCCGAAGGUCGUUGGUUCAAGUCCAACCCCCGCUCCCA